rnacentral:rRNA from 1 species
GUAACGGCGAGUGAAGCGGCAACAGCUCAAAUUUGAAAUCUGGCCCCCCCCGGGGGGCCCGAGUUGUAAUUUGCAGAGGAUGCUUUGGGCGAGGCGCCUUCCGAGUUCCCUGGAACGGGACGCCACAGAGGGUGAGAGCCCCGUCUGGUCGGACGCCGAGCCUCUGUAAAGCUCCUUCGACGAGUCGAGUAGUUUGGGAAUGCUGCUCAAAACGGGAGGUAUAUGUCUUCUAAAGCUAAAUACCGGCCAGAGACCGAUAGCGCACAAGUAGAGUGAUCGAAAGAUGAAAAGCACCUUGAAAAGGGGGUUAAACAGUACGUGAAAUUGUUGAAAGGGAAGCGCUCGUGACCAGACUUGGGGCGGGCGGAUCAGCCGGCGUUCUCGCCGGCGCACUCCGCCCGUCCCAGGCCAGCAUCAGUUCGCGCCGGGGGACAAAGGCGGCGGGAACGUGGCUCCCCAGGGAGUGUUAUAGCCCGCCGCGCCAUGCCCCGGGGGCGGACUGAGGGCCGCGCAUCACUGCAAGGAUGCUGGCGUAAUGGUCACCAGCGACCCGUCUUGAAACACGGGCCAAGGAGUCGUCCUCGUAUGCGAGUGUUCGGGUGUCAAACCCCUACGCGGAAUGAAAGUGAACGUGGGUGAGAGCUUCGGCGCAUCAUCGACCGAUCCUGAUGUUCUCGGAUGGAUUUGAGUAGGAGCAUACGGGGCCGGACCCGAAAGAAGGUGAACUAUGCCUGUGUAGGGUGAAGCCAGAGGAAACUCUGGUGGAGGCUCGCAGCGGUUCUGACGUGCAAAUCGAUCGUCAAACAUGGGCA